CCUACGGGUGGCAGCAGUAGGGAAUAUUGCUCAAUGGGGGAAACCCUGAAGCAGCAACGCCGCGUGCAGGAUGACGGCUUUCGGAUUGUAAACCCCUUUUGUUAGAGAAGAUAAUGACGGUAUCUAACGAAUAAGCACCGGCUAACUCCGUGCCAGCCGCCGCGGUACUACGCAGGGUGCAAGCGUUACUCGGAAUAACUGGGCGUUAAGAGCGCGUAGGCGGGAUAGCAAGUCAGAUGUGAAAUGCUAUGGCUUAACCAGAGAACUGCAGUGGAAACUGUUAUUCUAGAGUAUGGGAGAGGUAGGUGGAAUUCGUGGUGUAGGGGUGAAAUCCGUAGAGAUGAAGAGGAAUACUCAGUGCGAAGGCGGCCUGCUGGAACAGAACUGACGCUGAUGCGCGAAAGCGUGGGGAGCAAACAGGAUUAGAUACCCGUGUAGUC
rnacentral:rRNA from 1 species